GAUUCUUCUCUAGUCGUUUUCAGGUCUUUACAUGUUUGGGAUUUAUUUGGAGAUAAUGGAGCAUUCAAGAGGAAAACAGAGAAUUUAGGCUGCUGAAGAAAUUCGGAGACUAAAAACCGCGUAGGUGUCGAACGACACCACUCUUGGUGUCGAGCGACACCAAUACUUGACGACAAUUCGAAGACGCAACUUAUUGAUGUUUUGAAGAUUUCCAAAUUUGGCCCAAAACUUUCCCUUAUUUCUAAAGAAGGCCCAUCACGUUUCUUAGGUCAUAUAUAUAUAUAUAUAUUUUAAAGGUCAUUGUUUAGACCUAAGAGCAUCUCCAUUGGAAGUAUCUCAAUGAGAUACCCAACAAAAAAA
rnacentral:sRNA from 1 species